UGUUGUAUUGGAGCCAGCCAUAUAGUUAUAUUGAACUUUGAAUAAAACAAACUCAACAUUCCAAAAACUGAAAUUUUCAAUUGAAUUUUAUGACACCUUUUAAGACAACAUGGAAGAAACAUCCAUCAAGGACAGGACACUGUUGCCUGGAUAUUUCUUUAUUCCAACACGUGCCUUUGGCAGAUUUGUUUCGGCUUUCUUGAAGAUAGUAUAUGUUUGGCAAUUUGGUAUACAAUCGACCACAAUGUUAAUUAUAACGACAUUUACCUGCCUUUCAGUAGGUAAAUGACGAUUUGUCCUUUUCAAAAUACAAGACCUAUUUCUAACUGGAAAGUAGUAAUCACGAUCCAUGAUUAUUGAUUCCCAUAUAGUCUACAGACUCUAAAUAGAAUAAAAACUCAGGCACCAUAAUAAUCUAAGGUAAAUAACAAGGAACAUGAAGCCUCGCCCAUAUUGCAUAAAAGUAGGAAAAAGUUUUGACCCAUAAUUA
rnacentral:lncRNA from 1 species